CCUAUCUUACUCGAUUUGGAAGGCUUUGAUUUGUUAAAAGUGAACCUCAGAUUUGCAAGGACCUAGGCUGUUCAGUGCAGAAGAUCGAAGGAGCUUGCUGGACAUCUACAUCUCUCAGACAAAGAAACACGGUCGGUUUUCUUGGACCCUACUGAGUACAAAUUGGAGAGUUCUGCCGCAAUUUAUUAGCAGCUUAUAGGCAAGGAUUUUGGUUUGGAGGACUUGUUAGAGAAUGUUUUGUGAUGGAUGUUCUAUUUUCUGGCAGUACCAAAUGUUCAUGUUAUUGCUUGAUUUAGUUUUUAUAUUUUUGAGAUAAUAUUGUCCUCUCAAUUCGAGUGUUCAAAUCCACUUUAUUAGUUU